CUACAUAUCAAAAUUGAGGAUAGAAAAUUUGGUAGCGACGACAUUAAUAUAAUAUAUAAACUAUCAAACUGUCACAAAUAAACGAACCUUAUAAUGAUAACUAUACGAAUUAGUAAAACUGGAUGAAUGAAAAAACUGCAUUUUUGGUUGUAUAAAUCUUUUAAAAAGGCAGGUAAUUUAAAAAAGGGAGAGGAGCGCUCGAACGUUGAAACUUCAAUCCGAGGAGCGUCUGCUAUACUAGGUAUCAUUAUACUCACAGCAUUGCGAUGUUGUGGACUAGCAGAAGAUGGUGGUGUUUGAUUAAAGAUAGAUGUAGAUGAUGGAUAUGUAGGACCAGGAUGACUCAUUUGAUUAUUACAAAGACUAUGAUCUCCACCAUUGAGGUACCUCGGUUCUUGAGGAGUAUCGUGUAGAACAAAUCCUUUCUGUUGAGGUGGAUGCGUUCCCCAAUUUCGUGUAUCUUGAUAUAAGCGCAUGUCUUGUUGAUAAGCUACAUAAAGUUUUGAAAGAUUUAUGUUAAAAAUUAUGAAAACAUCAAUAGAUUAAAUCCUAGACUGUUAUAAUGUACAUACGUGUUGGUUGAGUACUAUAUCGUGGAUCCAUUGACUGCUGAUAGCCCACAGCAGCCAUUUCAUUUGCUAAGCUUUGAGUUGGAGGUGGUUGACCCCACAUUCGUCUUUGCAAUUGGGGUUGAUCAUGUAGAUAGAACUGAGAUUGCUGAGUAUCUUGUAAUUUGGAUGUUAAUGGAUUUAUAGGCGCCAUUCCAAAAUUCUAAACAGGGAAGGAAAAAAGAUAUAAAUGUUUUAGAUGUUAUUAUAAAAUAACUAAAUUACGGAACUGGAAAAUAGUACAUACUUGCAUAUGUUGUUGACUAAGACUUUGCAAUUGCUGAAACUGUUGCUGUAUUUGCUGUUGAUGCUGUGUCAUUAAAUGCUGCUGCUGUAUUUGAUUUUGCUGAUUUGCUAAACGUUGUAUAUCAGCUUGUAUUUCACUAAGACUGUUAUUCAUUCUGCGAAAAGGUGUACAUAUUCUUUUUCAACAGAUUUGAUAAAACGAAAUCUUUGUAUAUUAUAAAAUGAAAAUGUAUAC
rnacentral:misc_RNA from 1 species